rnacentral:rRNA from 1 species
CAGCCGCCGCGGUAAUACGGAGGGUGCAAGCGUUAUCCGGAUUCAUUGGGUUUAAAGGGUCCGUAGGCGGAUCUGUAAGUCAGUGGUGAAAUCUCACAGCUUAACUGUGAAACUGCCAUUGAUACUGCAGGUCUUGAGUAAAUUUGAAGUGGCUGGAAUAAGUAGUGUAGCGGUGAAAUGCAUAGAUAUUACUUAGAACACCAAUUGCGAAGGCAGGUCACUAAGAUUUAACUGACGCUGAUGGACGAAAGCGUGGGGAGCGAACAGGAUUAGAUACCCGCGUAGUCCCUGUCUCUUAUAC